GUUCAGUUUGUGAUUAAACUCGAAAGUGUACACUUGUAUUCUGGGCGCAGAUAUAACAAUUGGCGACGAGCUGAUGGAGGAAUGGACGACGAGUCACAAACACUGUCAGAAGGCGUGUGGGACAACGAGCGUUUGGCAAUUGCUGACGGACGUGGCCAGGCGUAAUAGCAGGAAGGGACUCUUGUCUGGUUUUUGCUGACAAAGAUUUCAACGAUUCUAAUGAUAGCAACUUGCGCACCACUGACAUCAACAUCAUACAACAUUCUACACAGUUUACAACAUCGUUACAACAUUGUUACAACAUUAACAACAUUCCACAUCAUUGACAACAUUUUCAACAUCGCUGUCUAUUACUUUCCACAACUUAAUUCAUAUUUUUUUUGGUUAAAUAAUAAACGUUGCUUUAAACA